CGUACAUAGGGUAAUCUUCAACCCCAUAAACGGUUUGGUAGAAGACGGACAACCGAACGUAUUCCUCGAGACGAAAACUUGAAAUUUACUAAUUCUCCAAGAUGACUGAAAAAGAUAACUGAUAAAAAUGUAAUUUUUUAGUGGAGGAUUUAACAAAAGGAAUAAAAGCAAUUGUAGUAGCGGUAACUGAAGAAUUACUAGGUUCCUGCCAUAACG